rnacentral:snRNA from 1 species
AUACUUGCCUGGUGCCGGGGCCUCGUUGAUCAUCGAGGACGAGCCUCACGGCGAGGUGGGGGCUUACCCCUGCCACUACCUUAAACUGGGGCAGAUGGGGCACGCAAAUUGC